rnacentral:piRNA from 1 species
UGGAACCCUUGUGCCUCCUGACAUUAUGUU